rnacentral:tRNA from 1 species
GCGUCUAUAGCUCAAUUGGUAGAGCAACGGUCUCCAAAACCGUGGGUUUCCUGUUCGAUUCGGGAUAGACGUGCCA